rnacentral:rRNA from 1 species
UACAGAGGAUGCAAGCGUUAUCCGGAAUGAUUGGGCGUAAAGCGUCUGUAGGUGGCUUUUUAAGUCCGCCGUCAAAUCCCAGGGCUCAACUCUGGACAGGCGGUGGAAACUACCAAGCUGGAGUACGGUAGGGGCAGAGGGAAUUUCCGGUGGAGCGGUGAAAUGCGUAGAUAUCUGGAGGAAUACCGGUGGCGAAGGCGGCAUCCUGGACCGGCAUUGACGCUCAGACACGACAGCAUGGGGAGCGAACGGG